rnacentral:rRNA from 1 species
AAUCAACGCUGGCGGCGUGCCUCAGACAUGCAAGUCGAACGCGAAAGGCUCCUUCGGGGGCCGAGUAGAGUGGCGCACGGGUGAGUAACACGUAGGUAAUUUGCCUUUGGGUGGGGAAUAACUCAGGGAAACUUGAGCUAAUACCGCAUAAUGCAGCGGCUCGACAUCGAGACAGUUGUUAAAGCGGGGGAUCGCAAGACCUCGCGCCUGAAGAGAAGCCUGCGGCAGAUUAGCUAGUUGGUAGGUAAUGGCCUACCAAGGCGACGAUCUGUAACCGGCCUGAGAGGGCGGUCGGUCACACUGACACUGACAUACGGGUCAGACUCCUACGGGAGGCAGCAGUCGGGAAUUUUGGGCAAUGGGCGCAAGCCUGACCCAGCAACGCCGCGUGAAGGAUGAAAUCCC